GCACUGCCGAGGCGUCCCACAAUAGGACGAAACGGUCGUCCAGUAC
rfam:Schistosoma mattheei strain Denwood, Zambia genome assembly, scaffold: SMTD_scaffold0020753